CACGUAGGCGGACAUUUAAGUCAGGGGUGAAAUCCCGGGGCUCAACCCCGGAACUGCCUUUGAUACUGGGUGUCUCGAGUCCGGAAGAGGUGAGUGGAAUUCCGAGUGUAGAGGUGAAAUUCGUAGAUAUUCGGAGAAACACCAGUGGCGAAGGCGGCUCACUGGUCCGGUACUGACGCUGAGGUGCGAAAGCGUGGGGAGCAAACA
rnacentral:rRNA from 1 species